rnacentral:rRNA from 1 species
UUCUGCCCUAUCAACUUUCGAUGUUAGGGUAUUGGCCAACCAUGGUUUCAACGGGUAACGGAGGGUUAGGGUUCGACUCCGGAGAAGGAGCCUGAGAAACGGCUACUACAUCCAAGGAAGGCAGCAGGCGCGCAAAUUACCCAAUCCCGACUCGGGGAGGUAGUGACAAUAAAUACUGAUACAGGGCUCUUUUGGGUCUUGUAAUUGGAAUGAGUACAAUUAAUCCCUAACGAGAACAAUAGAUGUA